UACGUAGGGAGCGAGCGUUGUCCGGAUUCAUUGGGCGUAAAGAGCUCGUAGGCGGCUUGGCAAGUCGGGUGUGAAAACUCCAGGCUCAACCUGGAGACGCCACCCGAUACUGCCAUGGCUAGCGUCCGGUAGGGGACCACGGAAUUCCUGGUGUAGCGGUGAAAUGCGCAGAUAUCAGGAGGAACACCGGUGGCGAAGGCGGUGGUCUGGGCCGGAACUGACGCUGAGGAGCGAAAGCGUGGGGAGCGAACAGG
rnacentral:rRNA from 1 species